GAUGAACGCUGACAGAAUGCUUAACACAGAAUCACUGAUUGGGUGGCGGACGGGUGAGUAACGCGUAAAGAACUUGCCUCACAGGUAGGGACAACAUUUGGAAACGAAUGCGAAUACCUACUACUGUGAGAGAGCUUUGCGUCCCAUUAGCUAGUGGGAGAGGUAACGGCUCACCAAGGCGAUUAUGGGUAGCCGGCCUGCGAGGUGUAUCGGCCACAAGGGGACGGAGACACGGCCCUUACUCUUACGGGAGGAAGCAGUGGGGAAUAUUGGCCAAUGGACCAAAGUCUGAUAGAGCAAUUCUGUGUGCAAGAUGAAGUUUUCGGAAUGUAAAGUGCUUUCAGUUGGGAAGCGGUACCAACAGAAGAAGUGACGGCUAAAUACGUGCCAGCAGCCGCGGUAAUAC
rnacentral:rRNA from 1 species